rnacentral:rRNA from 1 species
CCUACGGGAGGCAGCAGUGGGGAAUAUUGGACAAUGGGGGGAACCCUGAUCCAGCCAUGCCGCGUGUGUGAAGAAGGCCCUCGGGUUGUAAAGCACUUUCAGUGAGGAAGAACGCCUGGUGGUUAAUACCCAUCAGGAAAGACAUCACUCACAGAAGAAGCACCGGCUAACUCCGUGCCAGCAGCCGCGGUAAUACGGAGGGUGCGAGCGUUAAUCGGAAUUACUGGGCGUAAAGCGCGCGUAGGUGGCUUGAUAAGCCGGUUGUGAAAGCCCCGGGCUCAACCUGGGAACGGCAUCCGGAACUGUCAAGCUAGAGUGCAGGAGAGGAAGGUAGAAUUCCCGGUGUAGCGGUGAAAUGCGUAGAGAUCGGGAGGAAUACCAGUGGCGAAGGCGGCCUUCUGGACUGACACUGACACUGAGGUGCGAAAGCGUGGAUAGCAAACAGGAUUAGAUACCCUGGUAGUC